UACGAAGGGGGCGAGCGUUGUUCGGAAUUACUGGGCGUAAAGGGCGCGUAGGCGGUGUGUCAAGUCAGGCGUGAAAGCCCCGGGCUCAACCUGGGGACUGCGCUUGAUACGGCGGGGCUUGAGGACUGGAGAGGAGACUGGAAUUUACGGUGUAGCGGUGAAAUGCGUAGAUAUCGUAAGGAAGACCAGUGGCGAAGGCGGGUCUCUGGACAGUUCCUGACGCUGAGGCACGAAGGCCAGGGGAGCAAACGGG
rnacentral:rRNA from 1 species